rnacentral:sRNA from 1 species
GCAAAAGGAAAACUUAUGUGUGAAGGAAGGCCUGCAUCGGGAGUGAAAGUCAAAUUAAUGGAAUCUGACAGUAUGUGAAAAGCUUCUGAAAAUGAAUUUUCUAUUUACCUGUCUAUUUUCAGAUAGUUUCCUGCCGGGAUUUCUUGACAGAGAUGAUAAGAUGGCAUCAGGAAAGGCUGACUCAAAUGGAGAAUUCAAUUUGAGUGGAUCUACCAAGGAAAUCACCGGAAUCGAGCCAUAUUUGGCUGUUUUCCAUGAUUGUAAGGACGGAAUUACGGUGAGUUUAGAAUUUUUUAUUCUAAUAAAAAAAUUCCUAUAGUAAUUUUCAGCCGUGCCAAAGAGUCCUCCGCAUCAAUAUUCCAAAAUCUUACGCCAACUGGGGAAGUUCUGCAGAGAAAACAUUUAAUGCUGGAAAUCUCGAACUUGCUGGAAAGUUUCCAGGAGAAACUAGAAGUUGUUUCAAUUGAUUGGUAUAUUAUAAAUGCUUUUUGAAAAAAAAUUGAGAAGUAGUUAUGAAAAAUAAUAAAAUAACUAUUUACAAAUUUUCUAUUAAACUGGAACGUAUUUUAUUCAGUCGAGUUGCCAUUAUUGCCAUUAGAAAAAUAUAUAGGAUCCGAGAAAAUAAAGAAAAUUGGAAACUGAAAAAAACACACCAGUGAUUUCUGAUCCAGAGGGUGGCAUUUUGAUUAAAUCUGUACUUCAAUAUGCGUAAGGAUUUUCAGAGAGGCAGGUACCUGGUGCAUAGCACGGCUGUGCGGCAACCGAGAUUUUCGGCAACCGGCAAUUGCCGAAGUUGCCGAACUUAAAAAAUUUCGGCAACCAGCAAUUGCCGAAGUUGCCGAACCCGAAAAAUUUCGGCAACCGGCAACAUUUGGUUGCCGAAAAUUCGGCAACUUUUCGGCAACCGGCAACCAGGUUUCAAAAUUUGUUUUGUUGAAAUUAUAUUUUUGAGUGUUUUGGAUAAAAAGUAUGGUCGUUUUUUUCGUUUACAGUGAAAUUUUCGAAGUUUUUAGGCUCUCUGAAUGCUUUUUUCUGAGCUAUAAAAUGUUUGACAUUGAUAUCGGCAGUUGUCGAAGUUGCCGAACUCAAAAAAUUUCGGCAACCGGCAAUUGCCGAAGUUGCCGAACCCGAAAAAUUUCGGCAACCGGCAACUUUUCGGCAACCGGCAACUUGGCUGCCGGUUGCCGCACAGCCCUGGUGCAUAGGUAGGAAGGCAGUUAUGAUGCAGCUACACCUGGCACGCACCCACAAAUAUUUUAGUAGUUUUUACAGCCCUAAAUGAUACUUUAGCAUAUUCAAUUCAAUGUAUUUAUUCAAUGUAUUCAAUGUAUAUGCAUUUCACAUUUUUCACUUUUACAAUUUUCGAAAGGUACAUUUAAUUAUAUAUAUAACAAACACCAACCGAAUUCUGAAAAGUCAAUUUGAAAUAAUCAGCAUAUUAAUUAAUAUAGCUACGAAAAAUUUAUGUUGUUGAUGCAGCACAUCUUUGAUUUUCCCGCAUCUGAAAAUAAUCUAUUAGAGGAACCUUCAAAAACACUGGAUCCGCAUUGGAAUGAUAUCAGUUUUUGAUCAAGACUUUCUGAGCAGAAGUAAGAUGCGUUAAGAGUUGGAGUCAGAACUCACAGAGAAUCAAGCAUGGAACAACUGUGGAUUCUUCAUAAGUUCGGCAAAUACCAAUUCGAGUUCUUCCUCUGUCUUUGCAGCAUUCAACUGAACAUUGAUAUCCAUUAAUGGUUGUUGGCUUUGAUUUUGCCUAUUUGUCUCAGUUUCUUGGUUGGUUCUGUGAUGAAAAAUGUUAUAUAUGGUUUGAUGUUACAUUUCUACCUUAACUGAUGUCCACCUUCAUCAAUACGCAUUCGAGCAAACUCAUCCAACGGAGAUUGGGCAGCUCCUUGAUUAAGUCUUGAAUUCUUUUUCUCUUGAAGCUCUUUUUGAAUCUCGUAAAUUUUCUCAGCCAACAAAUGGUAGUAAUUUUUUCGGUCUAUUGCAGUUUCAAACACCUCUUUUUCGACUUUUCUGGCAUAGGCAUUCAAAUCUUUUAACCGAAUAUCAUUCAUCAUCUCUGGUGCCGGGCAUAUCGCUUUGACCAAUUUUCCGACAAUAUGAUUCCUGAGAUCAUUUGUAACUUGACGAUGCCAUUCCUUUGUACGAACCGGCACAUUUGGCGGUGGUAAGUUUGAAAUAUUUCCAUUUGUUAUACGUCCCGCUGACAUUGUCGACACCCCGAUUUGAUGAACUACUUCACCAUCUGCACUUCCAUAAGAAUUUCCUUUGGUGCCUAUCAGAUUGGCCAGAUGGGGCACUGUAAAUUAACAAUUAUUCGAAAAUGUUCUGAAGUAGGAUGGAUAGAACUUACAUGAAAAUAUUAACGGGACAUCGCGUGCCCUUUUGAGUGGUGUGCAGACAGGACAAUCUUCCCUCGAGCAGUUUUUCCAGUGAGCUAUUAUUUGACGAGACGAUGCACAAUGAGCGACUGAACGUUUUUUUAGUUUGUGAGGUAGUAGCUGAAGCAGUGACUAGAGUGUGAAGCGAAAUUUUUGGUGGAAAUAGGCGCUUGUUCUUGCGAAAAUGUUCGAAACUCUUUCCAGCUCGUAAUAGACUUACAAUGACAUAAACGACCAACAUUGCAGUUUGUCAUGUGAAUCAAUACUUCCUUCAUAGUUGGGCAAUGGGGUAAUCUACAGGUAGUAUGAGGAAGUGGUUGAUUCCUGGCAGCAAACUCAUUAUUUUCCUGGAAUAGCUGAUUUCGGAAACCGGAAUAUGCUUUAAAACAUACCUUGUCACGUAGUGAACAUUUGUGUGCAUGGAGUAAGAGAACAAGUUGUUGCUGAACAAGCUUCUGCUUCACGGGAUCUUGCUGCAGUGCAAGCAUGCUUAAUCCAAAAGAAGUUGCCGUCCAGAGCUGAUGUUACGGCUUUUUGUUCUAAACAGAUGUUAUCUUACAGUUUCGAUCAUAAUUCUUUCCACAAACAAGUUUUGUUGAUAACUUUAAUUGUGCUAAUCCGUUAUUAUUUUAUAAAUUUCUUAAAACACGUAGAAAAAUUUUUAUUUGAUAAAAUAUUUAGUGAUAGUCAAAAACUAACAAUUUUACACGACAGAAAAUUAUAAGGUUGAAAAUGCGAAAAUCAGUGAUAUUUGCUUGAUUCAAAAAUGAACAAAGUCCUAACGACAAAACCUAAAGAAAAACCUCCAGGUGUCAAAAUUGGGUAAUUUCAGCCUGACGGUUUGCCUGAAAAAUUUUCAAAACGGCAAAAUCUAAAUGAAACUGAAUCAAAAUCAUUCAGAAGAGAUCUAAAUAGUUAUCCAUUUUAGAUUGUAACAAAUGAGAGAACUGACGAAUAUUGUAUCACAAUUUGGUUUUUAAUAUCAGUCGUUGAGUUGUACAUUUUUAACACAUUUAUAAAUAAUAGGAAAGACAGGAAAAUUAUACACAAAAGGCAAUGUUUUGUAAGAACUAUGGCCCAGCAGUGUAUAAAAAAUCGAUAAAAUUAUGCUCUGAAUCACUCAUUUUAAGAAUGAGCAAAAACGAAAUGAAAUGAAAGAGUUUAUGUUAUCAAUAUUUAGCAUGUGAUACACUGCGAUUUUGAAAUCAGAAAGUAACCGGAAUGAUAAUUAUCGUUUUUGCUGUUGACGCCAUUGAUGUACUGUGUUCAACAUAGUGAAACACUAUAUAGAGUGUGGAAAUUUAUAAAACUCGGUGCGGAAAAAUGCAUAGAUGGACUAUUAAUUAAAUGUUGCAAUUUAUUCUGCCAAAUUUUAUUUACAGUACAAAAGACGCAGCAUCAGUACUUAUGGAUCCAUAGAAUGAGAACAAAAGCAGCUCUUCAAAAUUGCCACUUGUUUAAGUGAACUCUUCAAUAAAUUGUGGUUUAUGGAAAUGAAUGUACUGACUUUUCCCAGCAUAUUAUUCUUUCGAAUCGUUUGAAAGGAAAAUAAAAUGGGAAACAGCUCGAAACAUAUAUCACAGGUUAAGUUAGAUUUUGACACCUUGACGGAAAGUUUCACUCCGGGCGAGUAGCAUCAGCCAAUCAAAUGUGCAGACCCCGCUAAUAUGAAGGGUUUUACCGUGUUUUCUGGAACUUUCUCUAUCUCAACACUUUCAAGUUGAAAGUUUCAACAAAAAAAACAGCACACAUUCUCAUGAAUAUUUUAUUUUAUUCAAUUCAAAUAUGUGCACUCUUUUGUUCCGGAUAUCUACAUCAUCCUAGAAGAGCAUGUUUUGUGUAAUCAUCGCAGUCACUUGAUAAGGAUCACAGUUUGACGACGGACGACGAUCCCCCAGAUAUCCCUUUCCCUCCGCAGCCACCUGUCUCGGAAUACGGAUUGAGCAUCCGCAAUUGGCACGAGAAACUUGUCAGUCGAACUUGUCUCAUGACGUCCUGUCAAACGACGAAGAUUAUCUUCUCCACCAUGGAUCGUGCACCUUCAUCGCCUCCAAAUGUGUCCGCUUGAGUUCUGUCAUGGCGGCUUCAAUCGGUGGACCUGGAGCACGCAUUUCGGCGGUGGAGAAGUUGGUGUGGCAUCCGGCUCCGUUCCAGUCUCCCAUGGUGACCUUUGGUUUGGGAUCAAGCGAUACGCAGACACCGAAUUGUUCAGCAACUCUGAAAUCAUUUUAUUAUACAACUAUAAGAACAAGAUUGAUUUAUGUACCUGUGCAGAAUGUAUCUCGACAUCCACAACUGAUCUCCCAUAUCGAUUCCUUCGCAGGUUCCAAUUUGGAAUUCACAUUGUCCUGGAGUCACUUCGGCAUUUGUUCCGUGUUUGAGUAAAGUUGCACUGGCUUAUUGAAGACGUCUUCUGGAGCUGGAAGCAUCAGUGGCUUUCUGGUGAUGUGGCAGACACUAUUAGAUGCAAACGACGAGUUGAAAAUUGCUAUAAGAGCAAUGAGAAAAACAACUGAAAAGUGAGAAUUAGUAUGAAAACCAGAAAAUGUAAAACUUAUGUUAAGCAUGGUUAGUGGGGGAGGCUUCGAGUUUGUUAGUUGUCGAAAAAAAUGAAGAAAUGAUUAGUUAUUCACAAAGUUUUGAUUUUUUAAUUUAGCGGUUUUUUUAAAAGAUAGUCCACGUAAAUAUUAAAUCUCGGAAAAUUUUAAGAACUUCAAAUUUCAACAUCAUAUUUACGUGAACUUUUUUGUUAGAAAAUUGUAAUCGAUAAAAAGUCAAUUUUGUGAAAAACCAAUCAUUUAUUGAUUUUUCUCGACAACUAACCAACUCGAAGUCAACUCAACUAACCAUGCUUACCUGUGAAGCUAAAGCCCAAGUAAGUAUUUUCAAUUGGAAAAAAUAUCGUAUUUUCACAAGAUUCUUAAGUGCCUUAUUAAAGGCACACAGAUUUACGCAGGUGGGUUUCGGCGCGCAAAAAAAAAUUUAUGAUAGUUAUUUGUUAUUUUUAAGCGGUUUCGUUUAUUUUCCUCGCGUUUUUCAAUGAAGUCGCAAAGGUUUCAGCAAACUUUGGUGUUUCCUUUUCAUUACUCCCUAAAAAUCGCGAAAAAUCAGGUUUAAAAAUUCAAAUUUCAAAGAAACUACCAUAAACUUUUUUGCGCGCCGAGACCCACCUGCGUAAAUCUGUGCGCCUUUAAUAAGGUACUUCAAAAUCUAGUGAAAGUAUGAUAACUUCACGGGACAUCAAAAUUCGGGAAAUCAAAUACGGUCAUAAUUUUUUGGUAGUUCUAAACCUUUAAAAAAAGAACUGAACACUUACGAUUAAAUAACGCGUGUGGAAGUUGGUGAUGUAGAGGCCGAUAGUUUUCUCUGCAAUAAUUAUAAUUAAUUUAAAAGAAUGCAAAUUAUUAUGGAUUUUUAGCUUUUAUACACUUAAAAUAUUCUAAAAAACAAAUUUUUGUAUGACUUUUCAAAAAACUUUCAGCACCGCAUUUUCUGGAUCUGGCACCGUGCCAACUGCCGUUUUCACGAAGAAAAAUUUACCAGCGAAACUCUGAUCUUACGCGCGAGGUUUAGCGAUGAGAAAAUACUUUUUGAUGACAAAUACUAGGUUUUGUGGGGAUUCGAAAUGUUCAAAAUAGUUCAAAAUGUGUCGAUACGUUGUAAUAUAUUGUCUCAUUAAAGACAAAUUACAGAUAGAUGGAGCCGAGGAGGAGCGCAAUGUGCCGAAGAAGAAAGCGAAGCUCGAUAAGAAGGUACCCCACGUCUUCAGAGCAACACUAAAACAACCAAAGCAAACAAAUCUUAGAGGAAAAUUCACAACCAGCUGCAUGCGUCUUCUGAACCCUGACACAUCGUGCUGGUUAAAUGCCUCUCUUCAAAUGUUGAAAAGAUCAGGAUUUAACAAGCACUUGCAGCAAUGCAUUUCUAUGGAGCCAAGGCAUGAAGAGCUGCGGAAGAUUUUCGACGGAAAGAACGAGUUCAAGGAUACCUCUAAGCUGCGACAGCUCUUCAUAAAUCCACAGCUCAGAACGGGUGUUAACAAUGUCUACAAUGGUGUGGAAGCUCUAAUCAAGGUGAGUAAUUGCUAUUAAUCACUUAUUAUAUAACUACCCAAAAGACCGGUGUACGUAUUUAUCGCCAUAUUCGACGCGCAAUUAUCUUAUAGAAAAAAUCAGUGAAUUACCCAUAAGUAGCGGAUAAAAAUGAAAUCGCGUUAAAAAUCAAUUUAAAGAAAAUUGAUAUUUCCGCGUCGAAUAUGGCGAACAAGAGUCUUUUUUAAAAGCAUUUUCAGUGUUUUCAGAGAGAAACUCUGAAAUAGUAACUUUUUUAUUGUAUAUUCUCUAUUAGUGCUGCAUGAAACACGAAUUUCCAGGCGCUUUUUGAGUGCAGCACUACUAGAGACGGCAGUACUACGAGAGAUGCAGCACUAAUAGAGAAUAUACAGUACAUACACCUCUUCUGAUAUGAUGUACAAUACUUACUCAGAAUACAAACAAAUUAUUAUCAUUGCAACUUUCAGGACAUCUCCACUGAGUGCAUGGAAACGGAAGAAGCUCGGGAGCUGUUUUGCUUACGAAUCAACAAACGCGUCGUGAAUUGCACAGGAGGAUGCAAGCCGUACAAAAUGUCUCCAUCCUACCGAACGCCGUACAUCUCUUGCAAGUUGAAGAAAGAUGAAACCUUCCUUGAUUGCGUGGACUCGAGACAACUCAUCUGUGGGAAACACCGAAGCGGAAAAGACACCGGAACGCAGGAGCUUCGCCUAAAUCUCACGAAAAACAAUUCGAAGUACGUAUGGGUGCGAGUGAG